UACGUAGGGGGCAAGCGUUGUCCGGAUUUACUGGGCGUAAAGAGCGCGCAGGCGGUCGUUCAAGUCGCGUGUGAAAGCCCCCGGCUCAACUGGGGAGGGUCACGCGAUACUGAUCGACUCGAAGGCAGGAGAGGGUAGUGGAAUUCCCGGUGUAGUGGUGAAAUGCGUAGAUAUCGGGAGGAACACCAGUGGCGAAGGCGGCUUGCUGGCUCGUAACUGACGCUGAGGCGCGAAAGCGUGGGGAGCAAACAGG
rnacentral:rRNA from 1 species